ensembl:lncRNA
AUUGGAGUGUAGUUUUUACUGGAGUGUAGUUUUUAUUGGAGUAUAGUUUUUAUUGGAGUGUAGUUUUUAUUGGAGUGUAGUUUUUACUGGAGUGUAUUUUUUAUUGGAGUAUAGUUUUUAUUGGAGUGUAGUUUUUAUUGGAGUAUAUUUUUUAUUGGAGUGUAGUUUUUAUUGGAGUAUAUUUUUUAUUGGAGUAUAGUUUUUAUUGGAGUAUAGUUUUUAUUGGAGUGUAGUUUUUUUAAAUUGGAGUAUAGUUUUUAUUGGAGUAUAGUUUAUUUAUUGUAGUAUAGUUUUUUAUUGUAGUAUAGUUUUUUUUAUAUUGGAGUAUAGUUUUUUAUUGCAGCAGAGCAGAAUCAAAAACAUCAAAGGGUGGUGGGGGGUUGGCCACAUCUGAUUUUUAACAUCUAUAGUGGUUACAAGCCAAGCAAUAUCACGGCACAGCUGAUUCACAUUUAGCCAUGCCUACAAAACUCCACAGAGUGAGCUGAAAGACUCCACGUUAUGACUAAACGAUGAAAGAGUGCCACUAAAGUGCGGCGUGCA